AACGAACGCUGGCGGCAGGCUUAACACAUGCAAGUCGAGCGCCGUAGCAAUACGGAGCGGCAGACGGGUGAGUAACGCGUGGGAAUCUACCCAUCACUACGGAACAACUCCGGGAAACUAGAGCUAAUACCGUAUACGUCCGUCGGGAGAAAGAUUUAUCGGUGAUGGAUGAGCCCGCGUUGGAUUAGCUAGUUGGUGGGGUAAUGGCCCACCAAGGCGACGAUCCAUAGCUGGUCUGAGAGGAUGAUCAGCCACACUGGGACUGAGACACGGCCCAGACUCCUACGGGAGGCAGCAGUGGGGAAUAUUGGACAAUGGGCGCAAGCCUGAUCCAGCCAUGCCGCGUGAGUGAUGAAGGCCCUAGGGUUGUAAAGCUCUUUCACCGGUGAAGAUAAUGACGGUAACCGGAGAAGAAGCCCCGGCUAACUUCGUGCCAGCAGCCGCAGUAAUAC
rnacentral:rRNA from 1 species